AGCCGCGAACGGGUGAGUAACACGUGGGUUACCUGCCUCGAUGACCGGGACAACCCGAGGAAACUCGGGCUAAUACCGGAUGUGCCCGCAAGGGGAAAGGAAGCUUCGGCCUCCGCAUCGAGAUGGGCCCGCGGCCCAUUAGCUUGUUGGUGAGGUAACGGCUCACCAAGGCUUCGAUGGGUAGCUGGUCUGAGAGGACGAUCAGCCACACUGGGGCUGAGACACGGCCCAG
rnacentral:rRNA from 1 species